GAUGAACGCUGGCGGCGUGCCUAAUACAUGCAAGUCGAGCGAACGGACGAGAAGCUUGCUUCUCUGAUGUUAGCGGCGGACGGGUGAGUAACACGUGGAUAACCUACCUAUAAGACUGGGAUAACUUCGGGAAACCGGAGCUAAUACCGGAUAAUAUUUUGAACCGCAUGGUUCAAAAGUGAAAGACGGUCUUGCUGUCACUUAUAGAUGGAUCCGCGCUGCAUUAGCUAGUUGGUAAGGUAACGGCUUACCAAGGCAACGAUGCAUAGCCGACCUGAGAGGGUGAUCGGCCACACUGGAACUGAGACACGGUCCAGACUCCUACGGGGGGCAGCAGUAGGGAAUCUUCCGCAAUGGGCGAAAGCCUGACGGAGCAACGCCGCGUGAGUGAUGAAGGUCUUCGGAUCGUAAAACUCUGUUAUUAGGGAAGAACAUAUGUGUAAGUAACUGUGCACAUCUUGACGGUACCUAGUCAGAAAGCCACGGCUAACUACGUGCCAGCAGCCGCGGUAAUACGUAGGUGGCAAGCGUUAUCCGGAAUUAUUGGGCGUAAAGCGCGCGUAGGCGGUUUUUUAAGUCUGAUGUGAAAGCCCACGGCUCAACCGUGGAGGGUCAUUGGAAACUGGAAAACUUGAGUGCAGAAGAGGAAAGUGGAAUUCCAUGUGUAGCGGUGAAAUGCGCAGAGAUAUGGAGGAACACCAGUGGCGAAGGCGACUUUCUGGUCUGUAACUGACGCUGAUGUGCGAAAGCGUGGGGAUCAAACAGGAUUAGAUACCCUGGUAGUCCACGCCGUAAACGAUGAGUGCUAAGUGUUAGGGGGUUUCCGCCCCUUAGUGCUGCAGCUAACGCAUUAAGCACUCCGCCUGGGGAGUACGACCGCAAGGUUGAAACUCAAAGGAAUUGACGGGGACCCGCACAAGCGGUGGAGCAUGUGGUUUAAUUCGAAGCAACGCGAAGAACCUUACCAAAUCUUGACAUCCUUUGACAACUCUAGAGAUAGAGCCUUCUCCUUCGGGGGACAAAGUGACAGGUGGUGCAUGGUUGUCGUCAGCUCGUGUCGUGAGAUGUUGGGUUAAGUCCCGCAACGAGCGCAACCCUUAAGCUUAGUUGCCAUCAUUAAGUUGGGCACUCUAAGUUGACUGCCGGUGACAAACCGGAGGAAGGUGGGGAUGACGUCAAAUCAUCAUGCCCCUUAUGAUUUGGGCUACACACGUGCUACAAUGGACAAUACAAAGGGCAGCGAAACCGCGAGGUCAAGCAAAUCCCAUAAAGUUGUUCUCAGUUCGGAUUGUAGUCUGCAACUCGACUACAUGAAGCUGGAAUCGCUAGUAAUCGUAGAUCAGCAUGCUACGGUGAAUACGUUCCCGGGUCU
rnacentral:rRNA from 1 species